rnacentral:rRNA from 1 species
UACGUAGGGGGCAAGCGUUGUCCGGAUUUAUUGGGCGUAAAGAGCGUGUAGGCGGCCAUACAGGUCAGCUGUGAAAACUCGAGGCUCAACCUCGAGACGUCGGUUGAAACCGUAUGGCUAGAGUCCGGGAGAGGAGAGUGGAAUUCCCGGUGUAGCGGUGAAAUGCGCAGAUAUCGGGAAGAACACCCGUGGCGAAGGCGGCUCUCUGGGACGGUACUGACGCUGAGACGCGAAAGCGUGGGGAGCGAACAGG